rnacentral:tRNA from 1 species
GUGGUUGUAGCUCAGUAGUAGAGCGCUUGCAUUGCAUGCAGGAGGCCCAUGUUCAAUACCAAGCACA